GCUGGGAGUGAUGGCUCACACCUGUCAUCUCAGCACUUUGGAAGGCUGAGGUGGGUGGAUUGCUUGAGCUCAGGAUUUCGAGGCCAGCCUGGGUAACAUGGUGAAACCUUAUCUCUUGGCUGGGCAUGGUGGUGCAUACCUGUGGUCCCAGCUACUCGGGAGGCUGAGGUGGGAGGAUCAAUUAAGCCUGGGAGGUUGAGGCUGCAGUGAGCCAUGAUCAUGCCGCUGCAUUCCAGCCUGAGCAACACAGCGAGACCUGCCUCAA
ensembl:misc_RNA Metazoa_SRP Metazoan signal recognition particle RNA